GAAUGCUGACAUAAGUAACGAUAAAGCGGGUGAAAAGCCCGCUCGCCGGAAGACCAAGGGUUCCUGUCCAACGUUAAUCGGGGCAGGGUGAGUCGACCCCUAAGGCGAGGCCGAAAGGCGUAGUCGAUGGGAAACAGGUUAAUAUUCCUGUACUUGGUGUUACUGCGAAGGGGGGACGGAGAAGGCUAUGUUGGCCGGGCGACGGUUGUCCCGGUUUAAGCGUGUAGGCUGGUUUUCCAGGCAAAUCCGGAAAAUCAAGGCUGAGGCGUGAUGACGAGGCACUACGGUGCUGAAGCGACAAAUGCCCUGCUUCCAGGAAAAGCCUCUAAGCAUCAGGUAACAUCAAAUCGUACCCCAAACCGACACAGGUGGUCAGGUAGAGAAUACCAAGGCGCUU
rnacentral:rRNA from 1 species